UAAUUUUACAAACAUCCGACGAACUGAAGCUACAAUCAAGUCCGUAUCAUACCCAAACCCGAUCGAAUGUCCCGGCAUACAGCUCCGCUAGCUCUUGCUUUGAUUCACCGCCUUCAUAUGUUACGCAAUCAAAGUCCAAGCAGAAUGUAGUAUACUAGGGUUAUCGGGAGCGCGAUUAACAUCCCAAAAAUAACUGCCGUGCUGAGGAUAUCAGGAUGGACCCCAUACUCCUUGGCAAAGACGAACGGAACGAUACCCUGAGGCAGUGAGGCCUGUACAAUUGCAACGUGUAGGAGAACGCCACGUAGCCCGACAGCGAAGGAGGCGGCGGCCAUUACAGCUGGACCUGCGAGGAAUCUGACGGCCAUGGCAGAAGCUGCAACGGAGUUCCCACAUGCAAUGAUCCUUGGCUGCAAAGCCAUGAACAACCCGAGGCUAAACAUGGCCAUCCCCAGCCCUGCAUCGGACAGUAUGGAUAUGGAUCUAGAGAUAAUAGCAGGCAUGCCAACAUUCCAUCUGAAUGAAAUAAGAGACCAUGUGAGACCAAUGAGGCUGGAGUAGGUGUUGGGGUUUCUGAUCAGCUUCCUCCACACCAUGAUCAGAAUCAGCCUGGUCAUGACGCUGGCCGGAGGCAUUGCUGUCACUCUGCCACCUCCAAUGCCUUGCUCAUGCAUUUUUUCGUCGCUACCGCCAACACCGUCUCUGUUACCGAAGCUGAACUCCUCCCGGUCCAUGUAUUCGUCCUUCCGGCCAUCCACUUGUUUAGGAGAAACAGCCAACCUCACUUCCUUCACAGCAGCAGCUUCGCUCGCCGGUAACCCGUACUCCUGGUUGCCACCAAGCACAUCAGACACAGGCGAAGCACUCGAGCUCCACACAAACAUAUGCAAAUCCUUCGUGCCACCGCCCUCUUCGGGCUUCAACAAAUGUGUCUGCCCAUUCG
rnacentral:misc_RNA from 1 species